GAUGAACGCUAGCGGCAGGCUUAAUACAUGCAAGUCGAGGGGCAGCAUGAUUGUAGCAAUACAAUUGAUGGCGACCGGCAAACGGGUGCGGAACACGUACACAACCUCCCAAUAAGUGGGGAAUAGCCCAGAGAAAUUUGGAUUAAUACCCCGUAACAUAACGAUGUGGCAUCACAUUGUUAUUAUAGAUUUUUCGCUUAUUGAUGGGUGUGCGGCUGAUUAGAUAGUUGGCGGGGUAACGGCCCACCAAGUCUACGAUCAGUAGCUGAUGUGAAAGAAUGAUACGCAACAAGAGAACUGAGACACGGGCCCGACUGCUACGGGAGGCAGCAGUAAGGAAUAUUGGACAAUGGACGCAAGUCUGAUCCAGCCAUGCCGCGUGAAGGAUUAAGGUCCUCUGGAUUGUAAACUUCUUUUAUAAGGGACGAAAAAAGGCUUUUCUAAGUCGUCUGACGGUACCUUAUGAAUAAGCACCGGCUAACUCCGUGCCAGCCGCCGCCGUAAUAC
rnacentral:rRNA from 1 species